rnacentral:rRNA from 1 species
UACAGAGGGUGCGAGCGUUAAUCGGAAUUACUGGGCGUAAAGCGCGCGUAGGCGGCUUUGCAAGUCGGAUGUGAAAUCCCCAGGCUUAACCUGGGAACUGCAUCCGAUACUGGAUGGCUUGAAUCCGGGAGAGGGAUGCAGAAUUCCAGGUGUAGCGGUGAAAUGCGUAGAUAUCUGGAGGAAUACCGGUGGCGAAGGCGGCAUCCUGGACCGGCAUUGACGCUGAGUGAGCGAAAGCCAGGGGAGCAAACGGG